rnacentral:ncRNA from 1 species
AAAAGUUUGGUCCUAGCUUUAUUAUCAAGUAUUUCUUAACUUACACAUGCAAGUCUCAGCAAACCAGUGAGGACGCCCUUAUUUUCUUCUCCAGUCUAAGGAGCUGACAUCAGGCUCAUAACAUACACACCCAUAACGUCUAGUCCCACCACACCCACAAGGGUAUUCAGCAGUGAUAAAGAUUGUCUAUAAGCGUUAGCUUGAAUCAGUUAAAGAAAAGAGGGCCGGCCAACCUGGUGCCAGCCGCCGCGGCUACACCGUGGGGCUCAAAUUGAUAAUAGUCGGCGUUAAGCGUGGUUAAAGUUCUCAUUAAAUUAGAGUUAAAUUUUAGCUUAACUGUGAAAAGUUUGCUAUAAAGAAAACCAUAAACGAAAGUUACUCUAAUAAUCUACUUGAAUCCGACGACAGCUAGGAUCACAAACUGGGAUCAGAUACCCCACUAUGCCUAGCCGUAAAAAAUUUAUUUACACCAACAAGCGCCAGGGAAUUACGAGCGUAUGCUUAAAAUCCAAAGGAUUUGACGGUGUCCCACCCACCUAGAGGAGCCUGUUCUAUAAUCGAUGAUCCUCGAUAUACCCAACCAUUUCUUGCUUUUCAGCCUGUAUACCUCCGUCGCAAGCUUACCAUUUGAAUGUAAAAAAGUAGGUUUAAGGAUUCCCCAUCAAUACGUCAGGUCAAGGUGCAGCCAAUGUAAUGGAAAGUAAUGGGCUACAAUUUCUAUAAUAGAACAAACGAAACACUGCAUGAAAAACAGUCAUGAAGGCGGAUUUAGUAGUAAAAGGAGAAUAGAGAGCCCCUUUUAACAAGGCCCUGGGACGUGUACAAACCGCCCGUCACCCUCUUCAGCGGCGUAAAAUUUAAGUUUUUAACCCAACAAAAGAAAUCAGAAGAGGCAAGUCGUAACAUGGUAAGUGUACUGGAAAGUGCACUUGGUUAAC